rnacentral:lncRNA from 1 species
UGCUGAGCCACAGUUCCCAAUCCUGGCUUCACAGUCCAUGGGGAUAGACGCCGCUCUAGGACCUGAGCUGCCUCUUACCAUCGUUGGGAGAACAUCUCACUGCCAAUCUCAUGUUGCUGUGGCCACUGCUUCUGCUCCUCACUGCUGCGGGUGUGCAGUCUGGUGAGUUAUCCUCUUUGUUCUCCUCCAACUCUGGGAGGCUCCCUCUGCCGGCGAGGCAGGUGCUACCUGUCUCACCUCCCAGCUGGGGCUGCAAGGACCAGGGCCAGCACUGGGGUGGGGGUGAGUGGGAGGCUUGUCCCCACUGGGCAGUUCGGUCUCUGCACCACUACCUGCCUGCCUGAUGAGCUAAAGGUGUGACCCGACCCUGUCAGGGCAGUGAAAUCUCUUCUUGCUGCUGAGCCCUGGGACCAGAGAGAAGUUACCCAAGAAGGGAGAGCAAACCUUACACAGUUACUGUUGGGUAAACAUUCUCCUGGUUCUGGACCCCCAACUGCACCAGAGGCUGUGACAGAAAACACAUUUACCACGGAGGCAACCAGAGGCAAGGGAGAAGCUGUACCUAAAACAGGACCAUCUCCUGAACAUUUCCUUUGAUGGCAAAGAAUCACACCUAACUUGUUUCAUAUUAUAGGACAGGAAAGUUACAUUUUCUCCUUUAAUUUCUCCUUCAAGGAAGUAUUCACUCUCCUACAAGAAAGGGAGUAGAGGGCAUCCUUACAUAUCUGAUACUUUGAUAUCUGAUGAUACAAACUGUAUUACAACUGCCCUGACUUGAAGCAAGAAUGUUCUCUGGACUAUCCUAGGAUCCAGUGAGAUGUGUGUGUGUGUGUGUGUGUGUGUGUGUGUGUGUGUGUGUGUGUGAAGGUUGUGCCUUGUUUUGGGGAAUGGGUCUGUAAGUCCAACAUCGAAGUUAAAGCCUCUCCCCCAAGUAUCUCCCAGCCAGAUCCUGGUUCCAGACUCAGUUAUCUCUUACCUAUCUCUAGCCCUGCCAUUACCCUGAACCCAGUCACACGAGUCUUCUUUCUAAUUCUUUAAUCAAAUUAACUUCAUCUUUAUCAUUUUCCCUGAAAACCUUGCCCAAUCUCCAUGUGGAGGAAGAAAACUUUUGGCCUCCAGGAAGGCUCAAGACGUGUCUCUCUCUUGGUGCUUCUGACCCACUGCCUUGCCCGCCUCCUGGUCCCCCAGUGAGACUUCUGAAGUUGCCGAGCAGUCCAGGGGAACCAGUGGUCUCUGAACUUAUUAAGAACAAAAAUUCUAAGCAUGCACGUGCAACAUGUUCCAUAAAUAGAGAUCCCUAGAGGGAAAUAAUGUGUGCAUUGCAAAAUACAUGAAAAAUUGAAA